UACGGGGGGGGCAAGCGUUGUUCGGAAUUACUGGGCGUAAGGGCUCGUAGGCGGCCAACUCAGUCACACGUGAAAUCCCCAGGCUUAACCUGGGAACUGCGUGUGAUACUGGAUGGCUUGAAUUCGGGAGAGGGAUGCAGAAUUCCAGGUGUAGCGGUGAAAUGCGUAGAUAUCUGGAGGAAUACCGGUGGCGAAGGCGGCAUCCUGGACCGACAUUGACGCUGAGGAGCGAAAGCUAGGGGAGCAAACGGG
rnacentral:rRNA from 1 species